UGUGUGUGUGUGUGUGUGUGUUUAACUUGUGAACAAAGAUUAAAAGUAGGUGUAGAAACUCAAUCUUCUUUGGUAUCUCAGAACUCGUUGCUCAGUGUGUCUUGAUACAAAUAAAAAGCGAUAUA
ensembl:snoRNA LOC120102737 small nucleolar RNA SNORA40